UACGUUGUGUGCGAGCGUUGUCCGGAAUCACUGGGCGUAAAGGGCGCGUAGGCGGCGCGGGUAGUCAUCGGUGAAAGUUCAGGGCUCAACUCUGAAUCGGCCGGUGAUACUCCCGUGCUCGAGCACUGUAGAGGCAGGUGGAAUUCCGGGUGUAGCGGUGGAAUGCGUAGAGAUCCGGAAGAACACCGGUGGCGAAGGCGGCCUGCUGGGCAGUAGCUGACGCUGAUGCGCGACAGCGUGGGGAGCAAACAGG
rnacentral:rRNA from 1 species